GUUUCUGUAGUUGAAAUUUGAUAACAGUGGCUUUUCAGGCCACAGAUCUUGGAAAAAGCCAAGCAGAAACU
rnacentral:tRNA from 1 species